rnacentral:rRNA from 1 species
AACGAACGCUGGCAGCAUGCCUAACACAUGCAAGUCGAACGAGACCUUCGGGUCUAGUGGCGCACGGGUGCGUAACGCGUGGGAACCUGCCCUUAGGUUCGGAAUAACUCCCCGAAAGGGGUGCUAAUACCGGAUAAUGUCUUCGGACCAAAGAUUUAUCGCCUUUGGAUGGGCCCGCGUUGGAUUAGCUAGUUGGUAGGGUAAAAGCCUACCAAGGCGACGAUCCAUAGCUGGUCUGAGAGGAUGAUCAGCCACACUGGGACUGAGACACGGCCCAGACUCCUACGGGAGGCAGCAGGGCGGAAUAUUGGACAAUGGGCGAAAGCCUGAUCCAGCAAUGCCGCGUGAGUGAUGAAGGCCUUAGGGUUGUAAAGCUCUUUUACCCGGGAUGAUAAUGACAGUACCGGGAGAAUAAGCUCCGGCUAACUCCGU